rnacentral:rRNA from 1 species
UACGUAGGGUGCAAGCGUUAAUCGGAAUUACUGGUCGUAAAGCGUGCGCAGGCGGUUUUGUAAGUCUGUCGUGAAAGCCCCGGGCUCAACCUGGGAAUUGCGAUGGAGACUGCAAGGCUUGAAUCUGGCAGAGGGGGGUAGAAUUCCACGUGUAGCAGUGAAAUGCGUAGAGAUGUGGAGGAACACCGAUGGCGAAGGCAGCCCCCUGGGUCAAGAUUGACGCUCAUGCACGAAAGCGUGGGGAGCAAACAGG